rnacentral:rRNA from 1 species
GCCCCAGACUCCUACGGGAGGCAGCAGUGGGGAAUAUUGCACAAUGGGGGAAACCCUGAUGCAGCGACGCCGCGUGAGCGAUGAAGUAUUUCGGUAUGUAAAGCUCUAUCAGCAGGGAAGAAAAUGACGGUACCUGACUAAGAAGCCCCGGCUAACUACGUGCCAGCAGCCGCGGUAAUACGUAGGGGGCAAGCGUUAUCCGGAUUUACUGGGUGUAAAGGGAGCGUAGACGGCUGUGCAAGCCUGAAGUGAAAGGCGGGGGCCCAACCCCCGGACUGCUUUGGGAACUGUACGGCUGGAGUGCAGGAGAGGUAAGUGGAAUUCCUAGUGUAGCGGUGAAAUGCGUAGAUAUUAGGAGGAACACCAGUGGCGAAGGCGGCCUACUGGACUGUAACUGACGUUGAGGCUCGAAGGCGUGGGGAGCAAACAGGAUUAGAUACCCGGGUA